AGUGAACGCUGGCGGUAGGCCUAACACAUGCAAGUCGAACGGCAGCACAGUAAGAGCUUGCUCUUACGGGUGGCGAGUGGCGGACGGGUGAGGAAUACAUCGGAAUCUACUUUUUCGUGGGGGAUAACGUAGGGAAACUUACGCUAAUACCGCAUACGACCUACGGGUGAAAGCAGGGGAUCUUCGGACCUUGCGCGAUUGAAUGAGCCGAUGUCGGAUUAGCUAGUUGGCGGGGUAAAGGCCCACCAAGGCGACGAUCCGUAGCUGGUCUGAGAGGAUGAUCAGCCACACGGGAAUUGAGACACGGUCCAGCCUCCUACGGGAGGCAGCAGUGGGGAUAUUGGACAAUGGGCGCAAGCCUGAUCCAGCCAUACCGCGUGGGUGAAGAAGGCCUUCGGGUUGUAAAGCCCUUUUGUUGGGAAAGAAAAGCAGCAGGUUAAUACCCCGCUGUUCUGACGGUACCCAAAGAAUAAGCACCGGCUAACUUCGUG
rnacentral:rRNA from 1 species